rnacentral:rRNA from 1 species
UACGAAGGGGCUAGCGUUGCUCGGAAUCACUGGGCGUAAAGGGUGCGUAGGCGGGUCUUUAAGUCAGGGUGAAAUCCUGGAGCUCAACUCCAGAACUGCCUUUGAUACUGAAGAUCUUGAGUUCGGGAGAGGUGAGUGGAACUGCGAGUGUAGAGGUGAAAUUCGUAGAUAUUCGCAAGAACACCAGUGGCGAAGGCGGACUCACUGGCCCGAUACUGACGCUGAGGCACGGAAAAGCGAUGG